UGGGGAAUAUUGGGCAAUGGGCGCAAGCCUGACCCAGCAACGCCGCGUGAAGGAAGAAGGCUUUCGGGUUGUAAACUUCUUUUCUGAGGGACGAUAGUGACGGUACCUCAGGAAUAAGCCACGGCUAACUACGUGCC
rnacentral:rRNA from 1 species